UGGGAGGACUCUUGGCCUAAAAAUUACUUAUCUUAAAUAUAAGGCGAAGUUUCUCCACAUCUGACUGGGGCAGGCAGUUAUUUCACUUAUGAAUUCAUCAAUAACUUGAGUUUCUGAAAAUACUUUACUAGUUAGAAUUAAUUCCCUUUUAGAGAGAAAUCAAAUUCAUGUUAAAGAAUCACUAUUCCAAGGGACAAGCAAUAGAGAGACAUUGGUUAUAUUGUUUUACAUUAGGAAGCCUAAUUUCAAAGUAAAGUAAUGUCUGAUAAUAGAAAUUCCUAGUGUUCUGAUUCCUUACAGUCCAGUAACAAAUAGCAUGAGGUAGAAAAUAUUUAAAUUUUUGUAUAGUAUCAUAUUUAAAUCUUAUUAGUAGAAUUUGUUUAUAUCUUUUUCACUUGUGUCUCGUCAGUUAUUCUUAACUUCUGAAAUUCUUGGUCGAAAUGGAACAUAAUGUCUCAUUUGUCUGAUUUCAUCUUAGUGGGAAUAAAGAAUUAUGUUGCUUGACCUAUUUAUUUGAUAUCCACUAUGAAUAUUUGAAUUUUUUUAUUAGGAAUAAUUAAACAAUAGGAGUUCACUUUUAUACUAUACAAGACCAUUUGUUAUGUUGGGCUAGAAAUGACAGGAUAAUAAAAGAUGAAUCUUAUACUUUGCAUUUCUUAUGAUUUCACUAGUUCUACGAUAUACUGAUAAAUGAAUGCCAAAUUCAGUGAAAAAAUACACUUCCAUGUUUUUGUAGACUAGAAAUAUGCCUUGAUUUGUUAAUCAUAUUGCACAUUUCUCUUCUUCAAUAAUUUUGCAGAGUGAAUU
rnacentral:lncRNA from 1 species